CGUAGGGGCAAGCGUUGUCCGGAAUGAUUGGGCGUAAAGGGCGCGUAGGCGGCCUGGUAAGUCUGGAGUGAAAGUCCUGCUUUUAAGGUGGGAAUUGCUUUGGAUACUGCUGGGCUUGAGUGCAGGAGAGGUAAGUGGAAUUCCCGGUGUAGCGGUGAAAUGCGUAGAGAUCGGGAGGAACACCAGUGGCGAAGGCGACUUACUGGACUGUAACUGACGCUGAGGCGCGAAAGUGUGGGGAGCAAACAGGAUU
rnacentral:rRNA from 1 species